UUCGCCAUGGGAGAUGGCAUGCCUCCCGUCCCGGAAUGCUCGCUCCCCCCAGGACAAACCGCUUCUCGCGCUCCUCGUGUUGAAGUUGAUGAUGCCUGCUCCCCC
rnacentral:ncRNA from 2 species